UACGUAGGGGGCUAGCGUUGUCCGGAAUCAUUGGGCGUAAAGAGCGUGUAGGCGGUCCGGUAAGUCCGCUGUGAAAGUCGGGGGCUCAACCCUCGAAUGCCGGUGGAUACUGUCGGGCUAGAGUGCGGAAGAGGCGAGUGGAAUUCCGGGUGUAGCGGUGGAAUGCGUAGAGAUCCGGAAGAACACCGGUGGCGAAGGCGGCUCGCUGGGCAGUGGCUGACGCUGAGGCGCGACAGCGUGGGGAGCAAACAGG
rnacentral:rRNA from 1 species